rnacentral:rRNA from 1 species
GACGUAGGGCGCGAGCGUUUGUCCGGAUUUAUUGGGCGUAAAGGGCUCGUAGGCGGUUUGUCGCGUCGGGAGUGAAAACUCAGGGCUCAACCCUGAGCGUGCUUCCGAUACGGGCAGACUAGAGGUAUGCAGGGGAGAACGGAAUUCCUGGUGUAGCGGUGGAAUGCGCAGAUAUCAGGAGGAACACCGGUGGCGAAGGCGGUUCUCUGGGCAUUACCUGACGCUGAGGAGCGAAAGCAUGGGGAGCGAACAGG